GCGGCGAGGCGGGUGGCGCGCGGCAGCAGGGUUGGGCUCUCGCCGUGAGUCGACGAAGGGAGCGCGGGCGCGCGCCCGCGUCCGCGCACUGAGAGUCGCCUCGGCCGCUCGCUUUCUCGACUCCCGCCUCGCGCCUCGAUCCUGUUCCGCCUCCCUCGGCCCUCCUGCCCGCCCCCACUCGUCGGCCCUCAGGUUCCUGGAAAGUGAAAAUUUCAUUUCUUUGUGGACAGGUACCUAAAAUGUCUCAUUAUUCAUCAAUUAAUGAAAAACAAAUGAAAAUUUGAGAGAGAUAUUCUGAAGAAUAAAAGGAUCAAGUUGGGUCAUUUCUAAAAUGUAAGAUUAUAAGGUUUAACUUGCUAAGACUUUUGAGGGGUUGAAUUAUUGGUAAAUUAUUAUAGAACCACUUAUCUGAGGCUUUUAAAAGUGAUGUGUUACAGAGAUUUAGGGAACUGCAAGAUUGCAGAUAAAGAAUUUAUACUGUCAACUGUUCUAUACUUUACCUUCUGCUUUAAAUGCGGCCUUAUAUUUUGAAGUCAAACAUUUAUUUUCUCUCACUGCGUUCUGAAUUUCCUACCACAGUGCAUUUUGAGAAAUGAAUAUAACAGCAGUCUUCAUAGAUGCCAUAUUCAUGGCAACUCUGUCCCCCGCCAACACCACACCCUGGAAAAAAACCAACUUUCUAUUGUUGGAAUGAGGUAACAUUUUCAGGAAAAGGGAACCAUUUUCUCACAGGAUAUAGAACAAAUUCAACCUUUUAUUAAAUCAAAAUGGAUUCUCUAAUGUUUAUACAUAUCAUAUAGGAUUUCAUCUCUUUCAAUCUUGGUUCAAAGGCCCAGACAGUACCAUUCCCUAGUAUUUAGUCCAUUUGCUCAUAAAGCAGAAGAGAAAAGCUACUUUGUUCCGAAGGGUGUUAGAUUUAGGAUUCCAAGGUUAUUUCAAAUUAAUGCCUGGAACUAGACUAUAAAAUGCAGGAAAGAUUCUAAGUUGUUCAAAGAUGAAAUAUCUUAACUUUCACCAAAAACUCUGUCUUCUGGGUAUUUUUUGUUUUUCUGCCUUUCCAGAUUUAUUUUAAAUACAACAUUUUUGCUGUUUACAUUUUUAAAAGUUACAUUUCAAAAUUGUUCAUAAUUGGACACUUUCAUAAAAUGUAGGCAAAUGCAGUUUUACUUUUUAAUGAAGGACAAGUCUGUUGAUAACAUUUUGAUUCUUAAAAUUUUUUUUAUCUUAUAAAAAUGAAACAAUGCAUUUAAAGUGUCUUCAGCUCUUAUGUUAAUACCAAAUUAUACAUUUUCUUAGCCCAUGUUCAGGAGAGACAAUAUAUCUUCCAAAUUAAGAGAAGCUGGCACCAUUUUUAAAACAAGGCCUUGAAUCUGCUGUGGUAUGUGCUGGUAGGAAUUUUGUAUGAAGCUGUUAUUGAAGUAGAUGACAUUAAGGUCAAAGGAAAAAAAAAACAGAAAAUAAUGUAAUCCUACAGAGCUGCUCUUAAGAUCUUGAGAGAAAAACCACGUAGGUAACAUCAAACACUAGUUGGAAUCUUUCCAAGAAGUAAUUAUCUGUGUGCUGUUUGUGGUGGUUGAUUAUGGGAACAAACCAAGGUUUAGCCAAUUCAGCAAACAUUUAUGGAGUGCCUGCAAUGUGCAUGUCACUGUUUUAAGGCCUGUGCCUACUGUAAAGGUGACCCACACAUGAUGCCUGCCUUGCAGGACUUGGAGUUCAGCGAUAAUAAGAGAUGCAUACCUGAAAAGCCUAUUUAAGACUCUUCCGGUUCUACAAAGAAGGCUUCUUGAAAGUGGUAGCUUUGAUUACUCUUUGGAUUUAUUUACAUUUAUCCUAUAAUCAGAAGGUAUACAAAACAGACUCACACAUAUAUAAAAUUAAUAGAUUAGAUAGCAUUUAAACAAAUAUUUCAGGUAGGUACUUCAAAUGCAUUUGACAUUUAUCAAAGAAAUGGUAAGUGCUGUCAUCCGUGGGUGGCUGGAUUAACAUGUGGGACUACUUAUCACCAAUUUUGUUAGGGAUCUUAGGGAAAUUCCUGGAUCUUAUAUUCACAAGCAAUUGUAUAAAUACUUCCCACAGCUCAGAGACCUAAUAGGAUGGGGUCUUAGAGAAACAUCUUUUGAGCCACAGACUUCUUUGUUACCAGAAGGAAAAUGAAAGAAGAAAUUUAAAUACCACUUGAAGAGAGGUGCUGCCCAGUUCAUGAGUGCUGCUGCUGUCCUGCCCAAGUACCCAGCUUGCAGAGUGCCAGAGUUAGAGUCCCAGGGGUGUUCUCCACAGCUGCAUGCUUGAUCCAGGCCUAUCAGAUAUAUUCCAUUGAAAGUCCUCAUUCUCAAAUUUAAAACAAAGACUUUUUGUGUACCUCAAUAGCAAUGCACACACAGUUGGCUUCACAAACAUAUUGUACAUUUCUUUUUUUCAUAUUUAUUCAACAAAUGUAUAUUGACUACCCACCGUGUGACAGGUGUUAUUUGUUGACGGAACCAGGCAUCAUCAGCAAACAAAACUGACAAAGCUUCCUGCCCUCUGUGGAAGGCAUCUGAGGAAGAGACUGGAUUUUGUAGCAACAUGUUAUUCUCAUUAUAAACUUUAUCAUUGGAAUACUAAAGCCAAAUCAUCCCCCAUCUCCUUGAUCAGGAUACCCACUUAAUCUAGGCAGCUACACAAUUGUGAGAGCCUUUGUUUUUUUCUGCUGAAACAUCCUUAAAAAGAUACCUCACAACCCAAGAUUUGGCUUUUCUUAAAUACGAUUUUUAAUUUUUUUCAUUUCUAUCUAGAGAUUUAAUUGGAAAUGGAAAAUCAUCAAUUUUCCAAUUAAAUGUCUGUUCCAAUCAACAUUAUACCUUUUAGGUUGUCAUUGUCAUUUUUAAGUUUAAGCAACUUUAAGGAUUUUGAAUCUGGCUGCCUGUAAAUUAAAGGUGAAAGUAAUCAUUGUGUUGGAUUGGAACAUUUUGUCAAUUGAGAGUGGUUUCCUUGUUCUUAGUGUAUGAAAAGUUUAUUUUUCUAAUGUAGAUUAAUAAAGGAGAUAAAGAAAAACAAAAUG
rnacentral:lncRNA from 1 species